rnacentral:misc_RNA from 1 species
UGAGUAAGGCUUAGUGAUUUGGCAUGUAAUUCUCACGUGUGAGUGUACAUGUGCAAGUCUUCAUUCUUGUCUCACUUUUGUGCUCUCGCAUAAGUCUCAUUAAAUUUAUUUUGUUGUAUGGAGAGGAAGUGGGUAAAAAGUUACGAGAUGAAAUACAUAGAUUUUUAUUUUUGGUGCAAAUGGGAGAAAAUUGAAUUCCUCUCGCUUUUACUGUCCUCCUGUUCCACCAUUAUCAAACAGAGGCUGUGUUCAUUAACAUCCUGACCAGCUGCUGCCGAGCUUGAGACUGCUUAAUGUAUUUUUUCCCAGUUGUAUUUGUGUCUUAUCCGUUUUGUUGUGCUUCUGCUGUAUAUAUUUUCUUUUUAUUUGAAUGCUGAUGUAAUUCUUUGCGAAAUGCUUUGGUGUGUGAUUUCCAGAAACAUCAGUGUCCUUUUAGAUACACUUUUGCUGUGUAUUUUUAUAAUUUAAAGUCAUUAUUAACUAAUGAUGCCUUGAGAUAAGUUUUUCCUUAAAACUUUUGGACUGACUUCUGCUAUUGUACAUCAUCUUGCUAUAAGCUGCAGAAAUGGGCCGGAAGAUUCAGCAGAAUAAACAAGCUG